UGUGGGAUGCUUCAAACAAGACCUCUCCUGUGCCCUGUCUGAAACCACUCAGGACAUGCUGACUGACCUUCCUCAGAGCCUUCUGCCAAAGGAUUAUGUAGCCAGUGGCCCAGGGGUCUCAGCAGGGACCGCUCAGCAGGACAUUGCCCUUUUCACCCCCAUGUGUAGCUCUAUUUUUCCCACACAGCUUCAGAUCUUUGGUAUCCCUCAGACCCCCAGCCCAACCUGCAACAUCACAGCCACCUCUGCUCCUUCUGACAUCACCAACGAGAGCUCCCCCAAAGCCCAAUUAAAAACAGAUGAACCCUGUGUCCGAUCAUUGCAAAAUGGGCAGCUGGUGGAAACAGGCUGGAAACCUGUAUCGCUUCCACUGGCCUUCUAUCUGCUACAGAGCCAGGAGCAGCUAACCCAUCAGAUAAUAAGAGGCCUUCUCUUGCACUAGGCCAACCAUAUUCCUACGACUUUAUGAACUUCACUGCAAAGCAAAAAGGGGACAGCAGAGAUGGCUUCUAUUGAAGCUGUGGGUGUUCAUCAUAAGGAGAUAAAAGCCAGUCUGGCCAGUAGGGGUCACUAUUGUUCCAGUUAAAAAGCUUGACAGCACCUCUGAUUUGGAUGAUCUCAUUUUUGGUCCCUGGAGAUGUUGCUUCAUCACAGCCCAGCAGGUGCCCUCUUUACUACCCUUCAUCCCUCUUUCUCCUGUCCUCCAGCAUAAACACCAUUGCUUUUAAGAUCUCCGCCUACAAUGAUGUCAUUUUCUAAAUAUGAAGACAGUAUUUCAGGGGAUAUGAAUUAAUUGUAUUGUAUCUUGAAGUACAGAGUCAAAUGUGCAUGAAAUACCACAGAAUGAAGCUAUUAUUUAUUUGUCAAAAAUACAAUAUCUGUCGCUGAUGUACUAGUCAUCUAUUUAUAUUGCAUAAUUUUACUGUUGUGCGUUGACCUGACCAUUACACUGCUAAGCGCUGUAAUAUUAUUGCACGGAUAUGACCAGGUAAUUGUUUUACUGAGGUUUGAUCAUUGGAUAAUUAUUUGAUUGGGAUGCAGUCCCCUAAUCAUUUUGUUCAGAACUGGGGACCAUAUGGAGCUUGGCAGGUGAAACAUAAUUGGGCUAUGUUAAGUUAUGAUGAUUAUACCUUGGGCCUAAAUAGCCUAUACUGUACAAACAGUGCAUGCCUAUCCUAGCCAAUCUAUUUUGGUUGUACGGUGCAUGUUUGUAAUGAAUGCAUUACAUCAAUUAACUUGAAAUCUCAGUGUGAGUGUGUGUUUCCAGGGGGUUGUUUUGAAAGAAAUGUUAUUUAAUCGUUCAACCAGGCCAGAAAUGAUGCUGCGUAGGAUUUGCUUAAUUGGCAGAUAGAGAGAUAUUAAUGACUAAUGUGUGAAAAUGAGUUUAAGACAAACCCUUGCUGAACAAACUAUCAUCUGUUUAAUGCCAGGGUGGCUAAAAUCCGGAUAUUAAACAUAGUUAUUAGUAUAAACUAUACAUUUUGAUCUCGUCCCAUAUGACCUCAUGCAUGCAUGCACAGUUGAAAAUGAGAUAUUCACCAUGGUGAAAACAAAGUCAUUGAUCAAAUCGUAGAAGCUCACAAAGAGAUCCUGCCCGCUUAAAAAGAUAUCACAAAAUGAAAUAUUAUCGACUUUGCUGUCUUUAUCAAAAUACCAAUAUUUGCACAGAGAGAGGCGGGGAGUAGUAGUGUUGGGUGAUGUUGCAUUUUGAAACGAGGGGAGACAAAUGGCCUCUAUUAGGAGCAUUUAAUCAGUGCUCCCAGUCUCCUGCGCCCCCCUGGGGAAAGAUUAAUGGGUACAGGAUAUUUCACCAGGCCUUCCACAUCACUGCCCAGGAUAUGAGGCUGUAAUUGGGUCUGUUUUUGCUGUUGUUUUGUGUUACAGGGAGACAAAGAGGAGCCCGCAGGUCGGAGUAGUUUGGGGAAGGAUUCACAAGGUGCCAUAAGAAGUGUGAGAACAAUAUUAAGGAAAGGAAAACGAGUGAAGAGAGCAUGAAGAUUUAGCACAUCUAUGACACAGGACAGCGCACGAGAACUGAACUGAAUGAAAUAUAUUCUCUGUCUUUUAAAAUGAUGCAUCUUUCCUUUGAUUCAGAAAUACAUGUUUAACAUAAAGCAAUACUGUAAGGAUUAACUCACACCAAAAUGAACUGAUCAUCAUGUGACAGGCUUGAUGAUCACUACAUAGACUUUUCACCUUGACGUCUUCUUCCUCAUCAAUCAUCUAGUCAGAUGUCCUGCCACACCCUUUUUCUUCCACUGUAAUAUCACAUGUCAGAAACACUUAAUAAUGAGUCACUCAGGAUUGAUACACAUACAUUAUUAAAUAUUUGCCAAUUAAAACUCUAGUAAAAAUAGAUAUUUUUUGGCUUAUGUUUUGUAUUUUUAUUAUCUGGUCACAAGGAUGCAUGUUAGUCCAUUUGAAACAUAAAUGCACUACAUUUGAAAUGCAGUGAUGUUGUCCUUGAAAAUGAUUCUGCACUUUAGAUUCUUCACUCAAAGGAUGUUUGCUUUGCUGCUACUGUAACUCAUGAAAAAUGGAUGACCUCCCAAUGCUUUCUGCUGCCCAUCGCUCCCCAUAUUUGCACAGAGCCAAGGGACUGCAUUUGGGUUAGCAUCCUCCACUCUCCCUCCCACCCUCCCUUGGUGGCUUGUUGUGGGGGUGAAUAACUUAACACAUAUUUCAGCUUGACACACUUCUGCUCUGGGUCUCCCCUGGGUGCCCAGUUCACGAGCCCACACAUGCUGUAUUAUUUAAAAGUGUGGGUUUGGAGUUCUGUCUGUGUGUGGCUGUGCAUGUAAUCUCCUGUUUGUGUAAGGAGGAAUGCCUUAUGGAAUUGUUAAGCCUUUACCUGUGACCUUGCAGGUGUGGCAGCACCUCUGAUACCAGAUGAAUUCUAACAAUAUAAGCAUGGCAGCAUAGUUAUGGUUCCCUCCACAUUUUUUAAAAUAACUUUUUGCUGUUCUGAAAUUGAAUAUUUCUAUUAAAAAAAGGGAAAAUUGCUGUUUCACAAGCAGUACAAUACUCCAGUGAUAAUGUAUCAACAGAAAGGUCUGAACUGCAAAGUGAUUUAUUAUAGAAAAUCACUAAUCUGGACAAUUUAUCAUACACCCAAGAAUAAAGAUCUGCCAGAGCAAUGGUGAUGGUAAAAAGCAAACCACGACCACGACCACACACACACACACACACACACACACACACACACACACACACACACACACACACACACACACACAAUGACUCUAGCUAAUCUGAGAGCUGAUAACAUCAUGGAAAUCAGAGUGUUUUGGUACAGCAAAAUGACACAUAAAUCAUGUGCAAGGGAGAGGAUGCAAAAUGCUGCAGUUUGUAUGAUGGAUACAAAUAGCCGUCUGAUAUCUGGAAAGCUCUCGUAUAAAUCCUUGUCUUUGUGUUGCACGGGAUAUUUCCCAGGAAACUGCCGUAAGAUUAAUAUUUUCUGACGCAAAAUAACUCAGUGCCAGCCUCUAAAGACAAUAAGCUAAAGGUCUUUUCAUCCCAACAUUUUGCAGCAUCUGUAGACUUUACAUCAAGGCAAUGAUUGUCUGAAUAUGCAGGUGACUUGCACACUGGAGGGCACUGUGAGCAGCAGGCUUUUCAUACAGCACUUUGAGGGGGUGGGUGGCCAAGGAAGGUUGAAAGACACCUUGGCUAUCUCACCAGAUGGGCUCAGUGAAGCGUGUCAGAUGGCUGUGACAGCUACCUGCCCUUCCUUAAGGUCUGUCACCAUGUAUAAACAAACCAUAACUCUAAUUUGUGUGUGUGUGUGUGUGUGUGUGUGUGUGUGUGUGUGUGUGUGUGUGUGUGUGUGUGU